UUACCAAGGCUACGAAGGGUAGGGGAACUGAGAGGGAGAUCCCCCACACUGGUACUGAGAAACGGAUCAGACUCCUCCGGGAGGUAGCAGUGAGGAAUAUUGGAAAAUGGGCGCAAGCUUGAUCCAGCCAUGCCGCGUGAAGGAUGACGGUCCUAUGGAUUGUAAACUACUUUUAUACGAGAAGAAACACUCCUUNGUGAAGGAGCUUGACGGUAUCGUAAGAAUAAGGAUCGGCUAACUCCGUGCCAGCAACAACGGUAAUACGGAGGAUCCAAGCGUUAUCCGGAAUCAUUGGGUUUAAAGGGUCCGUAGGCGGUUUGGUAAGUCAGUGGUGAAAGCCCAUCGCUCAACGGUGGAACGGCCAUUGAUACUGCCAGACUUGAAUUAUUAGGAAGUAACUAGAAUAUGUAGUGUAGCGGUGAAAUGCUUAGAGAUUACAUGGAAUACCAAUUGCGAAGNCAGGUUACUACUAAUUGAUUGACGCUGAUGGACGAAAGCGUGGGUAGCGAACAGGAUUAGAUACCCUGGUAGUCCACGCCGUAAACGAUGGAUACUAGCUGUUGGGAUCAAUCUCAGUGGCUAAGCGAAAGUGAUAAGUAUCCCACCUGGGGAGUACGUUCGCAAGAAUGAAACUCAAAGG
rnacentral:rRNA from 1 species